UUCUCUUAUUAAGUCCAUCAUGAGAAGUCUGGCCAACGAAUCCCAAGAAAAUCUGCAUCUUCUACUGCAAGUGCUAAACACCGCUUUUGAAUUAGGCUCAGCCAACUGGGCAAAUGAGAGUUCGGGCAUGAUACUGGACCACCUGUUAACUAAGGUGUGUGCUCUGGAAAACAUGGCUUCUGUGCAGCUGAUCACCCAGGUUCUACCUCUGGGUCCCAGAGUGCUAUGCGACACUGUUGUUCCCGCAGUUCAGGCCUUCCAUGUGCUCACAACCAACCUGGUGAACCGAACCACCGAC
rnacentral:lncRNA from 1 species